AUCUUCUUCACUAUCUCAUAAGAAAACAUCCAGGACGUUUACCGGUACGAGUUUCUGCUCUAAAGAAACCGGAAAAAAGAAACAGAGAGUGAAGGAUCGAGGGUGGCAGAGAGGAGAAAAAUCAGAGAGGGAGAGGGGGAUCUGGAAGUUACACGGUUGCGAGGAGGCUAGAAGAAGAAAGAAUUGGGCUUCGGCUAGAUCUGUCACCUCUCUACUCAACUCUUCCCACACGGAGAAGGCUAGUUAAGAGUUAAGAAGACUAGAAGGAAUAAAUCAGUAGUAAUUUAUUGCUACUGGGAUUCCCAUGGCCUCAUCCAGCAUGCAGAAAGCAGCCUCAUCUUCUUAUUCUCCUCCCCAAUGGAAGUAUGAUGUCUUCCUUAGUUUUAGAGGCAAAGACACACGGAAUAACUUUACUAGCCAUCUAUAUUCUAAUUUGGAACAAAGAGGCAUCGAUGUAUACAUGGAUGAUAGCGGGCUAGAGAGAGGAAAGACCAUCGAACCUGCUCUCUGGCAGGCCAUCGAAGAUUCAAGAUUUUCAAUCGUUGUGUUUUCAAGAGAUUACGCGUCUUCAUCAUGGUGCUUAGAUGAGCUUGUCAAGAUUGUUCAGUGCAUGAAAGAGAUGGGGCACACUGUUCUACCAGUUUUUUAUGAUGUGGAUCCAUCAGAGGUAGCGGAUCAGACAGGGGAUUAUAAGAAGGCGUUCAUUGAGCAUAAGGAAAAGCACUCGGGAAAUCUGGACAAGGUAAAAUGCUGGAGUGAUUGUCUCUCCACAGUGGCCAAUCUAUCUGGCUGGGAUGUACGGAACAGCGAUGAGUCACAAUCAAUUAAAAAGAUUGUUGAAUAUAUACAGUGCAAACUAAGCUUCACUUUGCCAACAAUUAGCAAAAAUCUAGUUGGAAUGGAUUCUCGUCUGAAGGUAUUGAAUGAAUAUAUAGACGAACAAGUAAAUGAUACUCUCUUUAUAGGGAUAUGUGGAAUGGGUGGCAUGGGAAAGACAACUGUUGCAAGAGUCCUGUAUGAUAGGAUUCGUUGGCAAUUCGGUGGCAGCUGCUUCUUAGCAAAUGUGAGAGAAGUUUUUGCAGAGAAAGAUGGACUGUGUCGUUUACAGGAACGACUUCUUUCAGAAAUCUCAAUGGAGCUUCCCACUGCACGGGAUUCUUCAAGAAGGAUUGAUUUGAUAAAGCGCAGGCUGCGGCUUAAAAAGGUUCUUCUUAUUCUCGAUGAUGUAGAUGAUGAAGAACAAUUACAGAUGUUGGCUGCAGAGCAUGGAUCGUUUGGUCCAGGGAGCCGGAUUAUCAUAACGAGCAGAAAUAAACAUGUGCUGGAUAGCCAUGGUGUUACUAGAAUAUACGAGGCUGAGAAAUUAAAUGAUAAAGAUGCUCUUCUCUUAUUUAGCUGGAAAGCUUUCAAAAGAGACCAGCCUGCCGAAGAUUUAUCGGAACUGUCCAAGCAAGUUGUGGGUUAUGCUAAUGGCCUUCCACUUGCUCUGGAAGUCAUAGGUUCGUUCUUGCAUAAAAGAGGUCUGCGUGAAUGGAAAAGUGCAAUUAAUAGAAUGAAUGACAUUCCUGACAGGAAGAUUAUUGAUGUUCUUCGCAUUAGUUUUGAUGGCCUCCAUGAAUUAGAGAAGAAAAUAUUUUUAGAUAUCGCUUGCUUCUUGAAGGGGAUGAAAAAGGAUCGUAUAACAAGGCUACUUGACAGUUGUGGGUUCCAUGCAGAUAUUGGGAUGCAGGUUCUUAUUGAGAAAUCUCUUAUAAGAGUCUCACGAGAUGAGAUAUGGAUGCAUAAUCUAUUACAGAAAAUGGGUGAAGAAAUUGUUCGUUGUGAAUCCCCUGAAGAGCCUGGAAGACGCAGUAGAUUGCACACAUACAAGGAUGUCAGCGACGCACUGAAGGACAGCACAGGAAAAAUAGAAAGUAUAUUCUUGGACUUGCCCAAAGCAAAAGAGGCAACAUGGAACAUGACAGCCUUCUCAAAAAUGACCAAACUAAGAUUGCUCAAAAUUCACAACGUGGAUCUUUCUGAAGGACCUGAGUAUCUCUCAAACGAGUUACGAUUCCUUGAAUGGCAUGCUUACCCUUCAAAGUCAUUGCCAGCUUGUUUCCGUCCGGAUGAGCUUGUUGAACUCUACAUGUCUUGCAGCAGGAUUGAGCAAUUAUGGUGCGGAUGUAAGAUUUUAGUUAAUCUAAAAAUCAUCAAUCUCAGCAACUCACUGUACCUAAUCAAUACCCCAGAUUUUACUGGAAUUCCAAAUCUCGAGAGUCUGAUUCUUGAAGGUUGUGCAAGUUUAUCUGAGGUCCAUCCAUCAUUUGGACGUCACAAGAAGCUUCAACUUGUGAAUCUUGUGAACUGCUAUAGUCUUAGGAUUCUCCCAAGCAACCUUGAAAUGGAAUCAUUAGAAGUUUGCACUCUCAGUGGCUGCUCAAAACUUGAUAAGUUUCCUGAUAUAGUAGGAAACAUGAACUGCUUGAGGUAGCUUCGUUUAGAUGGGACUGCUAUUGCAGAACUAUCCUCAUCAUUUCAUUGUUUGGCUGGUUUAGUUCUAUUGAGCAUGAACAAUUGUAAGAACCUUGAAAGUAUUCCCAGUAGCAUAAGUGGUUUGAAAUCCCUCAAAAGACUUGAUGUGUCUGACUGCUCUGAACUUAAGAACAUACCAGAGAAUUUGGGGGAAGUAGAAAGUUUGGAGGAGUUUGAUGCAAGUGGAACUUCAAUUAGACAGCCACCAGCGUCUUUUUUUCUUUUGAAGAAUCUUAAAGUAUUGUCUUUUAAUGGAUGCAAAAGAAUAGCUGUGAAUCUCACAGAUCAAAUAUUGCCUUCUUUGUCUGGUCUGUGUUCUUUAGAAGAACUGGAUUUAUGCGCUUGUAAUCUAGGAGAAGGAGCAGUUCCUGAAGAUAUUGGCUGCUUAUCGUCAUUGAGGAGUCUAAAUCUGAGCAGAAAUAACUUUAUUAGCCUGCCUAAAAGCAUAAAUCAGCUUUCUAGGCUUGAAAAGCUUGCCUUGAAGGAUUGCGUGAUGCUUGAAUCAUUGCCUGAGGUUCCCUUGAAAGUUCAAAAAGUAAAAUUGGAUGGCUGUUUAAGACUAAAAGAAAUUCCAGAUCCAAUAAAGCAAAGCAGUCUGAAAAGAUCAAAGUUCAAAUGUCUUAACUGUUGGGAACUGUACAAGCAUAAUGGCCAAAACAACAUGGGUCUGAACAUGCUUGAAAAAUACCUCCAGGGCUCAUCUCCAAGACCUGGAUUUUGUAUUGCUGUUCCUGGAAAUGAAAUUCCAGGCUGGUUUACUCAUCAAAGUAAGGAAUCUUCAAUUAGGGUGCAGAUGCCUUUUAAUUAUCUGGAUGGUGAUGAUAAUGGG